rnacentral:RNase_P_RNA from 1 species
CAGAGAAGAGACAGCCUUGCAUGCAAGGUAAUGGUGAAACGGUGGGGUAAAGCCCACCGCGCGGCUGGCAACAGUCGUGGCACGGCAAGCCCCACCGGGAGCAAUGCCAAAUAGGAACCGCAUAUGGGUCGUUUCAACCCCGCAGGUUCGGGUUGGCAGCUAGAGGGGCCUGGUAACAGGCCGCCGAGAUGAAUGAUUGCCCAAGAUUGCGCUGGCAACGGCGUGGAUCUGGACAAAAUCCGGCUUACAGGCUCCCCGCGCAU